rnacentral:rRNA from 1 species
AUUGAACGCUGGCGGCAGGCCUAACACAUGCAAGUCGAGCGGAUGAAGGGAGCUUGCUCCUGGAUUCAGCGGCGGACGGGUGAGUAAUGCCUAGGAAUCUGCCUGGUAGUGGGGGAUAACGUCCGGAAACGGGCGCUAAUACCGCAUACGUCCUGAGGGAGAAAGUGGGGGAUCUUCGGACCUCACGCUAUUAGAUGAGCCUAGGUCGGAUUAGCUAGUUGGUGGGGUAAAGGCCCACCAAGGCGACGAUCCGUAACUGGUCUGAGAGGAUGAUCAGUCACACUGGAACUGAGACACGGUCCAGACUCCUACGGGAGGCAGCAGUGGGGAAUAUUGGACAAUGGGCGAAAGCCUGAUCCAGCCAUGCCGCGUGUGUGAAGAAGGUCUUCGGAUUGUAAAGCACUUUAAGUUGGGAGGAAGGGCAGUAAGUUAAUACCUUGCUGUUUUGACGUUACCAACAGAAUAAGCACCGGCUAACUUCGUG